GUAUACAAAUUUAUAUGUGGUUUAUAUAAAGAGUAUAUCUCCAUAUAGUAUAAACGCAUUCAAUGUAUUUGCUGUUCGGCUGUUUGUUUGUUUUCUUGCUUUGUCGUUUGUUUGUUUGUGUUUAGCUCGCACAUCGUUUUCAAAAAUCGAAAUUGAAAUAUGAGCCCCGUUUGAUAUUUAUAUGGAACAGGGGAGUUGGGGUCGCAUACCUAUGUGAGCAUGAAUGUGUCUACAACGGCAAAGAGAUGUGGAGCCUGCACAUUACCAAUGCAAAGUUGAAAUAAAUGAAAAAGUGGGAAGUGGGAUGAACUCUGAACCGGGUGAAACGGUAUGUUUAACAUUAAAUCAACAAAUAUAUAAAAAGGCUAGCGGAUAUACCAAGGCCUUGCCCGUGGUAAGUUUUGUGCUUAGACGUUUGAAUACAAUUUUUUUUUAUCCAAUUCC